AUCUAUUGAAUUGACAUAUGGGUUCUAUGGUUAGUCUAUUGCAAUUCAAUAGAGGGUUCAUCACAUAGAACCUACUUUUGGAAUGAACUAAAUCACACCAUUGCAAGUGAGAUUUUAUUAUUUUAGUUCAAUUUCAUGCAAUAAAAUUACACUGAUCCUAACCAUUGCAGAUGCUCUUAGCAGUUAACGAGUGCAUAUCCUUCCAAUCCAAGUAGCAAUGAAAAUAAUACAUAAAUAAG
rnacentral:lncRNA from 1 species